UCUGUCUUCUACUCUGUCUAAUAUUCUUUCUCAUUUGUCUGUCUCUCACUCAUUUUACGCAUUUUAGUUACUUUUUUUUUCUUCUUUAUCUCUUUUUCCAUAUCAUCCGUUGCCUCCUUUUCUGAUUCCUGCCUGAACCUUGUGUUCCUCUUAUCCCCAACCAACUAACUCUCUCAGUGUCUCUCUCAAUGCUUUCCAAUUAAACCAAACUGUUCAUUGAAACAACAAUUUACUUGUUCGCUAAUCGUCCCCAACAAACUACAGUCGACCAACAAUUGAACAAUCACCAGAUAAAGUUCGUUCUUCAUCAUCAUCAUCAUCCCAUUUGAAAGUGUUGAUCAUCUCAAGGAUAUUAACCAUCAAGCAUUGGAUUCCAUUGAUUGUUGUGAAAUUUGUAGUUUUAUUUACUUACUUUUCUCUCUCUCUCUCUAAUUACGCCUUUCACUUGUGUGGUUGUGUGUUUUAACUAAUCAUUUUUUUCACUUCCUCAUCAAUUUCUUUUCUUUUCUUCUUCUUCCUUUCUUUCUCUUGGCUAAAGAUCAAAGAUGACGAUGAGAUUUCGAUGAUUAUUUGGAAUAAUCCUUUUCCUCAUUCAGUUGAAUAUUUAUUUACGCCUUAAGCAGAUACGAAAGAAACGAAAGGAUUAAUUUGUUUCAUGUUAUCAUGAAAUCGUGACAACAAAUCGAUUACAUAUACAAAACCAAGACGCUCUUUCAUUUAUAUUGUUACAACUACUCAUUAUUGAGAUUCGAUCAGAGGUAGUAGGUUGUAUUGUUGAUGAUUAAUUAACCCCAAUCGGAGGCCCUUAACUAUACAACUUGCUAGCUUCCUUCGAGUCUCUUUACAAUCUUCAUGUGUCUCUCAUCAUCAUGUCCACAAUUCUCACAUCGUUAAUUCAUAUCCUGGAUCUGGAUAAUUUACAAAGAUGAGUUUCGCUCUAUCAUAUUUUUCUCAGUAUUAUUAUUAUUAUUUUUUUUUCUUCUCCUUUCUCUUGAUUUAUUCGGACUUUUUUUUACUUCUCCAAGAUAUUUCAUUCUACAUACACACAAAUACACUAUUACCCCAGAUGCAAGGGAGAGAAAGAGAUUAAGGAAAUGGAAAUGAGCUACAAACACACAUCAUCUCCAUCGCUGGAAAUGAGGAGCACCCAAAUACCCCUUAUUCUUUUGCUGUUAAAUAAAUAACGAGGAAAAAGAAAUGAAGAGUAAAAUGGCCUUCCAACUGUUUAUCUUCUAAAAAUUUGAUAACUUGAAAAAAAGUAUAGAAAAGAAAAUAAGAAAAAAAAGGGGAAGAUGAGAAGAAAAAGAGGAGGAAGAGGAAGAGAGCGAAAGAGAGAGAGAAAGAGAGGAAGGAGAAAAGUGAUUGCGAAAAGUUAUGCUAAAGAGCCUCGCGGGUUUGAGGUGAGGCAGCGAUUCGAGUCGAGGAAAAUGAUCUUUUAUAGUUUAUCUUAAAGAGGAAGAUGAACAAGAUCACAUUCUUUCCAAUAUGGUCCAUGCGAAUUGACUACUACUUUUGUCGAUAUCGAUUUUGUCGAUCAUCUUUUUUUCUGCCGUUUCUCUCCAUUGGCUCAGCCUUUCGAUACUCUUUUCCAUCUUUUCCUUGUUGUUUAAAUAUCGAUCUCAAGUCUUUUUUAUCCGAAUGACCUAAAAACGAAAACUUCGAGCACCUUUACCAUCUUUUUUUUCUCUUUCCCUUAAAUACGAUCAUUUGUCUCCAUCAAACUGUCGGUUUGUCUAUUUCCAGUCAAUAGUAUUUCUUUUUAUUCCUCAUUCGGUGUCCUAGUUAUUUUUAUAAAUUUAAUUCGAUUCGAUAUUUUUUUUCUUGUUGACCUUUUUCAUCUUCUAUUAUCGCUCCAAGCUAUUUCUCUCUAAUCUUAUAGAUGCGCUUCGGUUGGAUGUAUUGGUCACUUUUUAAAGCGAUUGGUCAAGUUUUCUUGCUAACUGGUAGCUCGUCUCAACCAAUCAAAAGCCACGAUGACCAAUAAGUGACCACAACGCUUUUUAUUGGCUAUUUUAUCAUCGUUUAAGGUCACGGCUUACCUUUUAUUCAGUUUAAAGGCCACAAAAGACCAGUGAGAGGUCAGCGAUUUUUGGACCAAUGGGCGAGUCGAUAUCUCUCUCGAACUCAUUUAAAUGAUUAACAUUUCCAUAACUAUAAAUUUACAGUUAAUGUUUCAUUCAUGACAAUUAACUGAUUCAAGAAAAUGGAAAUUUUUUCAUCUGA